rnacentral:rRNA from 1 species
CUUGCUUCUCUGAUGUUAGCGGCGGACGGGUGAGUAACACGUGGAUAACCUACCUAUAAGACUGGGAUAACUUCGGGAAACCGGAGCUAAUACCGGAUAAUAUUUUGAACCGCAUGGUUCAAAAGUGAAAGACGGUCUUGCUGUCACUUAUAGAUGGAUCCGCGCUGCAUUAGCUAGUUGGUAAGGUAACGGCUUACCAAGGCAACGAUGCAUAGCCGACCUGAGAGGGUGAUCGGCCACACUGGAACUGAGACACGGUCCAGACUCCUACGGGAGGCAGCAGUAGGGAAUCUUCCGCAAUGGGCGAAAGCCUGACGGAGCAACGCCGCGUGAGUGAUGAAGGUCUUCGGAUCGUAAAACUCUGUUAUUAGGGAAGAACAUAUGUGUAAGUAACUGUGCACAUCUUGACGGUACCUAAUCAGAAAGCCACGGCUAACUACGUGCCAGCAGCCCCGGUAAUACGUAGGUGGCAAGCGUUAUCCGGAAUUAUUGGGCGUAAAGCGCGCGUAGGCGGUUUUUUAAGUCUGAUGUGAAAGCCCACGGCUCAACCGUGGAGGGUCAUUGGAAACUGGAAAACUUGAGUGCAGAAGAGGAAAGUGGAAUUCCAUGUGUAGCGGUGAAAUGCGCAGAGAUAUGGAGGAACACCAGUGGCGAAGGCGACUUUCUGGUCUGUAACUGACGCUGAUGUGCGAAAGCGUGGGGAUCAAACAGGAUUAGAUACCCUGGUAGUCCACGCCGUAAACGAUGAGUGCUAAGUGUUAGGGGGUUUCCGCCCCUUAGUGCUG